UCGGGAAUUUUGGGCAAUGGGCGAAAGCCUGACCCAGCAACGCCGCGUGAAGGAUGAAGUAUUUCGGUAUGUAAACUUCGAAAGAAUAGGAAGAAUAAAUGACGGUACUAUUUAUAAGGUCCGGCUAACUACGUGCCAGCAGCCGCGGUAAUACGUAGGGACCAAGCGUUGUUCGGAAUUACUGGGCGUAAAGGGCUCGUAGGCGGCCAACUAAGUCAGACGUGAAAUCCCUCGGCUUAACCGGGGAACUGCGUCUGAUACUGGAGGGCUUGAGUAUGGGAGAGGGAUGUGGAAUUCCAGGUGUAGCGGUGAAAUGCGUAGAUAUCUGGAGGAACACCGGUGGCGAAGGCGGCAUCCUGGACCGGUAUUGACGCUGAGUGAGCGAAAGCCAGGGGAGCAAACGGGAUUAGAUACCCAAGUAGUCCCUGAGCGGGCUGGCAAGGCGCAU
rnacentral:rRNA from 1 species